rnacentral:rRNA from 1 species
AACAAACGCUGGCGGCGUGCCUAACACAUGCAAGUCGUACGAGAAAGGGUCCUUCGGGGCCUGAGUAAAGUGGCGCACGGGUGAGUAACGCGUGGAUAAUCUGCCCUUCAGUUGGGAAUAACUCAUCGCAAGGUGGGCUAAUACCGAAUAAUGCUGUGAGACCUCGGUUGAUCAGCCACAGAGAGCCUCUGCUUGCAAGCCCUCGCUGAAGGAUGAGUCCGCGUACCAUUAGCUAGUUGGUAGGGUAAUGGCCUACCAAGGCGACGAUGGUUAGCUGGUCUGAGAGGAUGAUUAGCCACACUGGAACUGAGACACGGUCCAGACUCCUACGGGAGGCAGCAGUGAGGAAUCUUGCGCAAUGGGGGCAACCCUGACGCAGCAACGCCGCGUGAGUGAGGAAGGUCUUCGGAUCGUAAAGCUCUGUCGGAUGGAAAGAACCGCAUAGGGGUAAACAGCCCCUGUGUCUGACGGUACCAUCAAAGGAAGCACCGGCUAACUCCGUGCCAGCCGCCGCCGUAACAC